GCGAGGAUGGCGGAAUUGGUAGACGCACCAGACUUAGGAUCUGGCGGGGAAACCUGUGAGAGUUCGAGUCUCUCUCUUCGCACCA
rnacentral:tRNA from 1 species